UUAUGCAGUAAAAUGCACUAAUUGAACGU
rnacentral:sRNA from 1 species